rnacentral:rRNA from 1 species
GGCUUCGCCUGUUUAACAAAAACAUAGUUUAAAGAAAAAGAUUUUAGAUAGAUUCUGCUCAGUGAUUAAAUUUUAAAUAGCUGCAGUGAAUUAACUGUACUAAGGUAGCGUAAUAAAUUGCUUUAUAAUUGAAAGCUUGAAUGAAAGAAAUAAUGUGAAAUAAACUUUUUAAAAUAAAAUAGUAUAAAUUAAUAUUUAAGUGAAAAAUCUUAAAUUAAAUCAAAAGACAAGAAGACCCUUUAGAACUUAACAAAUAAGUCUAGCUUUACUUGAUCUUUUUGCUAAAUUGGGGAGAUUUUUAAAUAAAUAAAUCUUUAAAUAUAAGUAAAAUGAUAUUUAUCAAGUUAAAUUAUCCAAAUAUGAAAUAAAACAAGUUACCUAAGGGAUAACAGCGCAAAAUUUUUGAAAAGUUCUCAUUUACAAAAUAUAUUGCGACCUCGAUGUUGGAUUAAGAAUAAUCUAUAAAGAAAAAUUUAUAGGAAUUGGUCUGUUCGCC